rnacentral:tRNA from 1 species
CGGGGUGUAGCGCAGCUUGGUAGCGCAUCUGCUUUGGGAGCAGAAGGUCGCUGGUUCGAAUCCAGUCACCCCGACCA